rnacentral:rRNA from 1 species
UACGUAGGGUGCGAGCGUUAAUCGGAAUUACUGGGCGUAAAGUGUGCGCAGGCGGCCGCGCAAGUCGAGUGUGAAAUCCCCGAGCUUAACUUGGGAAUUGCGCUCGAAACUACGUGGCUGGAGUGUGGCAGAGGAAGGUGGAAUUCCACGUGUAGCGGUGAAAUGCGCAGAUAUCAGGAAGAACACCCGUGGCUAAGGCGGCUCUCUAGUACGGUACUGACGCUGAGACGCGAAAGCGUGGGGAGCGAACAGG